AGCUGGUUCCCUCCGAAGUUUCCCUCAGGAUAGCUGAAACUUAUAGAGUCUCAUCAGGUAAAGCGAAUGAUUAGAGGAUUUGGGGUUGAAACAACCUCGGCCUAUUCUCAAACUUUAAAUGGGUGAGAAGCGCAGGUUACUUUAUUGAACCGGCGCAUUGGAUCAGAGUUUUUAGUGGGCCAUUUUUGGUAAGCAGAACUGGCGAUGCGGGAUGAACCGGAAGCUUGGAUAAGGUGCCUAAAUCGUGGCUCAUUCAGAUACCAUAAAAGGUGUUGGUUGAUGAAGACAGCAGGACGGUGGUCAUGGAAGUCGAAAUCCGCUAAGGAGUGUGUAACAACUCACCUGCCGAAUCAACUAGCCCUGAAAAUGGAUGGCGCUCAAGCCGCACACCGAGACUAGGCCAUUAGGGCAAAUGCGAAGCUCUAAUGAGUAGGAGGGCGUGGCGGUAGCACCGAAGCCCUGGGCGUGAGCCCGGAGUGAAGCUGCCGCUAGUGCAGAUCUUGGUGUUAGUAGCAAAUAUUCAAAUGAAAACUUUGAAGACCGAAGUGGAGAAAGGUUUCACGUGAAGUUUAUUGCGACGUGAGUGAACCGGCCCUAAGGUACUCCGUAUGGGAAUGAAAGGGCGCAAUUUAUUGCGCCGUCAGCCAAAAGGGAAACCGUUUAAGAUUUCGGUGUCGGCACACGGUAUUAGGCGGUAACGCAUUUGAACCAGGUGACAGUGGCCGAGGCUCCAGAAAGAGUUUUCUUUUCUUUUUAACAUUACCACAGUCCCUGAAAUCGGAUUAACCGGAGAAGGGGAGUGUGGUGUGGCAAAGCAAUUGACCUUUUCAAUUGUCUGGUGCGCUUCGGACGCUCCUUGAAAAGCCUGGGGAGUGUUUAUACUUCGUGCUGUCCGUACUCAUAACCGCAUCAGGUCUCCAAGGUUAGCAGCCUCUGGUCGAUAGAACAAUGUAGGUAAGGGAAGUCGGCAAAUUAGGUCCGUAACUUCGGGAAAAGGACUGGCUCUUAGGGUUGGACGUUUGAGGCUCGGUCCCAGAAGUCCCGUUAGUGAUUGAGACUGGCUGGCUGGCCUUCGGGCAGGCAGGCCGGGCUACUAUUACAGACGGACCGAAGAACCGAGAUUGUCGUUUCGGCGGCUUUCUCUGCGUGCUAAACAACCAACUGAGAACUGGCGCGGACAAGGGGAAUCCGACUGUUUAAUUAAAACAAAGCAUUGCGACGGUUGGAAACAAUGUUGACGCAAUGUGAUUUCUGCCCAGUGCUCUGAAUGUCAAUGUGAUGUAAUUCAAUCAAGCGCGGGUAAACGGCGGGAGUAACUAUGACUCUCUUAAGGUAGCCAAAUGCCUCGUCAUCUGAUUAGUGACGCGCAUGAAUGGAUC
rnacentral:rRNA from 1 species